rnacentral:rRNA from 1 species
GACGAACGCUGGCGGCGUGCCUAAUACAUGCAAGUUGAGCGCUGAAGGUUGGUACUUGUACCAACUGGAUGAGCAGCGAACGGGUGAGUAACGCGUGGGGAAUCUGCCUUUGAGCGGGGGACAACAUUUGGAAACGAAUGCUAAUACCGCAUAAAAACUUUAAACACAAGUUUUAAGUUUGAAAGAUGCAAUUGCAUCACUCAAAGAUGAUCCCGCGUUGUAUUAGCUAGUUGGUGAGGUAAAGGCUCACCAAGGCGAUGAUACAUAGCCGACCUGAGAGGUGAUCGGCCACAUUGGGAAUGAGACACGGCCCAAACUCCUACGGGAGGCAGCAGUAGGGGAUCUUCGGCAAUGGACGAAAGUCUGACCGAGCAACGCCGCGUGAGUGAAGAAGGGUUUCGGAUCGUAAAACUCUGUUGGUAGAGAAGAACGUUGGUGAGAGUGGAAAGCUCAUCAAGUGACGGUAACUACCCAGAAAGGGACGGCUAACUACGUG